UGGCAUCUGUCACAUCUGCUUUGUCAUUCCUUGUCUAUUUAUUGUUCUGUUCUGCACGCUACCAAACAUGCAGGUGCAGUAUGCUAUCCUGCACUUCACUGAUCGCAAUGAAACUGAAGUUGUGCCAUGUUCCCGGCUCCCCGGAGAUGUACGCGGAAGGGACGACUGAUUCGAAGAGCUACCUUCCAGGAAGCCAAUGUGAAGAACAGGAAGUUGCCGUAAAAGGAAUACAUAAGUGCUAAAAUGAUGCGAGAAAAAUGCUCCCUGCUUCUGAGUGGACGUCUGACUUAAACGCUUCAAACGAACUGCGUCCGAAACGACCUCGUCGUCCCAGAGUGACGAAGACGACUACCCCGCAGUUCUUGAUACCUUUCUGCGAAGAGACAGGUUGUCUUCAAUGUGCACCACACCGAAGACACAAGUGAAAUGGCAGGAGGAUCCGCCGGCAGUAGCGUUAGCAACCAAGGGACUGCCGAUCGCCUUCCAAUGUCUGCCGUCUUGAAUGCACAAGAAAAGAAGCAUACAUGCAAGGGAGUUCGAAAACAUUGCGGGUGUCUCUGGAACGAUUGGAUGCAUCGAUGGGACGCACAUCCAAAUACGAUGUCCAGUGCAUAAGAUCUAAUCAACAUAUAUUAAUCGACAUGACAAUCCUUCCCUUGCAAUGCAAGGAGUGUGUGACCUCCAGCCCCGCUUCCUUGAUGUAACAACGGAGAACCGAGGGGAAGUACAUGAUGCCCGAGUUUUUAGAACGUCAUCAAUUGGUGAAAAGCUGCCAUACAUAUGUCGUGUCAGCAAGUAUCACAUUUUUCGUGGUCCGGCAUAUCCCUGGAGGAAGUACCUGCUUACUCCGUUCAGGGAUUAUGGUACACUCUAAAAAAGAAGGGAGUCAAAAGGAAAGAGAGCCAAACUACCACAGUGUA